rnacentral:lncRNA from 1 species
GUAAGGCAAAUUUGAAAUUUGUUUAUAUUAUCUGGGCUACCUUGCUUGAUACUAAUUGUAGUGUUCCGGUUUGCAUAUUUCAUUGUUUGGCAUCAAUUUAAUUACUAAUCUGUACCUGUAAUUACAUCUCCUGUUGAAUUUUACUUUAAGCUGCAUGAUUGUUCUUUAUUGAUGGGUAACCUCAAUUUGUGUUGUGACAUUUAAUUUUUAACUAAACACCAUUCACAUUUUUUAAACUUGUUAGUUCAAAUUAUUCUAUCAAUAACAAUUUGGACUUAUUUUGGAACUUCAAACUAAGAUUCCUGUAAACAACUUUGCACCUGAUCAAGUGCCCUUGCUGACUUCAAAAGAUGCUGAUACCACUAGUCAUGAAUCUUUAAAACAGGGGAAAGUAAGGGAAAUUUGAAAUUUGUUUAUAAUAUCUGGGCUACCUUGCUUGAUACUAAUUGUAGUGUUCAGGUUUGCAUAUUUUAUUGUUUGGCAUCAAUUUAAUUACUAAUCUGUACCUGUAAUUACAUCCUCCUGUUGAAUUUUGUUUUAAGCAGCAUGAUUUGUUCUUUAUUGAUGGGUAACCUCAAUUUGUGUUGUGACAUUUAAUUUUUAACUAAACACCAUUCACAUUUUUUAAACUUGGCAGUGAAAAUUAUUCUUUCAAGUUUCAAUAACAAUUCAGACUUAUUUUGUCAAAUGAAAUGGUAAACAGCAGAUUCUGGACUUGUUAAUUUUGUUGUUCAAAUAGUGGUUGCACUAAUCAAAAUUUUAUUAGUGAUUUUUCUUGAAACUAAUCAGCUCUACUAGUACCAAAGAUUUGCCCAACUUUGGCCCGCAUAUGAGGCCAACUCGAAUAGUAGUAUGUAGAAUUUAUCUUUUCUGAUUUGUUUUGGUUCUUAGUUUGAUUAGCAGUAUUGGAGCACUAGUAGCUCUGUAUACGUAGGUAUGCUUUUAAACCUCUAUGGCUAUGCUUUGCUUCUUGUUUUCUCUCUUUUAUGCUUAAUAAAGUUAGAUUAAUUUAGUAAUUAGUAGUAACCAUAGUUGUAGCUUUUGGAGGUUUCUUCUUAAACAUAGGGUAGAGAAGCACGCAACAAUAUUUUAAGUGAGGUUUUAAAUAUCAGAUGGAUUGUACAAGUUCAACCUUUUUUUAAGGUUUGACUGUGACUAGUGCUAAAAUGAGACUGGCAUUUGGAACCUUGACUUUAACAAGUUGUUCCUCUGAUGUCUGGGUGAUAGAAUGACCAUUUGAAGCUCUAUAUUUUCUCCAUUUUUUAUCCAUGUUUAGUUGCACGGAGAUGAUCUACUUAAAUGGAGACAACUGUAUAAUGUCUAUAUGUGCUGCCAUAAUUGGCAAGAUGUCUCAGAUGUUUUUUAGAUUUCAAAUGCUAAUUGCUUACAUGUGCUGAAAUUUUGACUUGCAUGGAUGUGCUCUUUCCCAAGAACACACAAAGUAAGAUCAAAUUUGGUGUUUGAUGCUAAAAUUAGGUGCACACCAUAAGCAAUGUUUUUUUAGAAUAAUAUGUAGAUCAAGGAUUUAAAUUUGGUCCAAUAUCCUGUAAUCAAUUGGACUAGUUGGGUAUUGGUAUAUCAGAUUAUCAUGAAUGAUCGUCGUGCACUUGCAACACCUUCGUCAACAGACUGUUUGUCCUUAUGUUUGCUUAUACAGUCGUUUGACAGGAUGUUUUGUAUUGUUUUUAUGUGUUUUUGCUUGGUUUCUAUAAGCAAAAGCAGUUUACGAAGCUGCACAAUGACCGCUCGCCAAAUUAGGCAAAACUAUUUGAAGCCCAGUUUUCAUGUGCUGCUGCCAGUUUUCUAUAAGCUGCAAUGCGGUACGAAACAUUAGCUAUCCCAACACCCUAGAACCACCCAGGUGGCAUAGGGCUGGUUGAGACUUUGGGGUAGUGUUGGGUUAUGUUUGGAUAACUAUUUGCAGGCUUCCGAUUGUUCUUUUGUCUUUGGAAGUCUUUGUUUUCACAUUCCUCUCUUUUUUUUCUUUGCACACUAAAUGUUUGCUAAAUUGCUUAUAAGCUGUGUUUUUUCCUUUUAACAAAUGUUGGGACUUAUUUGUUGCUUGUUUUCUAGAAAUCUAAUUAAUACUUGUACGAGGUUGUUUCUAGGUUGACCCUUUGCAAACGAAUAUUGCAAGGGUGUCUCACAACUCAGAUAAUUCCAGCUAAGUCGUGAUCCAUACGGCCUUGUAUUACCAUAAAAGAUUAAUAAAACAUGGUACCAACUGUAUGGUUCCAUUUGUACCGACCAUUACAAUUUAGAUUUGAUUCCUCGGUAUAGGUAAUGCUCAUUGUAGUGUAGGCUUUUUAAUUAUGUGUGGUAGGGACCCAGCUUGACUCAGUCUUCCUCAGCCCUAAGACUUGGCCGAAUGAGGAUGGAGUCAACCUAUUUUUGCCUUGCUGUGCCUGCUGAGGAGACAGCAGCAGGCUGCAGCAGUGUUGAAUGCUUCUGAUGCUAAUCCUCUAAGUUGGAAAAGGAGAAGAGAAGGGGGAGGGAGACGGAGAACAAUCACACAUCUUCUUGUUGCUUGUUGCUGCAUGCAGAGAGGUUUCACUUCCCAUGUGCCUUCAUGUGACUACUUGCUCAUUAGAGUCAUGGGAUUAUUGUUUCAUUAAUUCAUGACCUACUCCCAUCUGGUUUUUUUCUGUUUCUAUUAAAUUUUGGAUAUUGUUUUUUUAUUUAGAUGAUUCAUUUCAUGAGUCUAUUAUUAUUCUGCCUUGAUAAUAACAAUAUUUUUGAAGAUAUGUAGGCUUUUACUAAAUUUCAUACAGUAUUUUUUUUAAUACUUGCACUUUCAGCUUUGAGCACUUGGGUAUGCUCGUAAAUCCAGUUCUCAUAUGUCCAUGCAAGACUUGCUGAACUCUACAUAUGUGUAAAAUCAGGCAUUAUGGGAUGACUAUGCCAUGUGUCAUCUCACGGAGAAUUUGUUUGUAUUAUAUAUAGCGCAUUUUUGCUGUCAAUCAAUGCUAACUGACACACAUGAUAGGAGGCUCUCAUUUGAUUAUUUAGCUCUCAUCAUUUCGGCCAGAUGAAUGUGAACUUGCCUUUAUAAAGGCAUAAUAGAACAUCUUAAAUAUUCUAGUGUCAUUGAGAUAGUAGAACAAUGCCUGAUGUUUGUGCUAUGCUACAGGUGAAAAUGCUAAAAAUGCUAAGAAUUCAUUUUGUUUGGCUCUCAAAUUAUUCUUAUUUGUGAAAUUUAAUCUUUAGGCACUUAUUUUACUGGAGUGACUACUGGCUUUUUGUUUAACGCAGC